rfam:Brachypodium distachyon strain Bd21 chromosome 4, whole genome shotgun sequence.
GGUCCUGUAGCUCAGUUGGUUACAGUAUUGGUCUGAUAUGCCAAAGGUCUUGGGUUCAAGCCCCAACAGGAGCA